rnacentral:tRNA from 1 species
GCGGGUGUAGUUCAAUGGCAGAACACCAGCCUUCCAAGCUGGCCAUGUGGGUUCGAUCCCCAUCACCCGCUCCA